rnacentral:rRNA from 1 species
CCCUUAGAUGUCCGGGGCCGCACGCGCGCUACACUGAAGGAAUCAGCGUGGCUUUCUCCCUGACCCGAAAGGGUUGGGAAACCCGUUGAAUCUCCUUCGUGAUAGGGAUUGGGGCUUGAAAUUGUUCCCCAUGAACGAGGAACUCCCAGUAAGCGCGAGUCAUAAGCUCGCGUUGAUUACGUCCCUGCCCUUUGUACACACCGCCCGUCGCUCCUACCGAUUGGGUGAGCCGAUGAAACUCUCGGAUGUAGGCUAUUCAUAGCCCGCAGAAGAGAUUUGAAUCGUAGCGCUUAGAGGAAGGAGAAGUCGUAACA